rnacentral:siRNA from 1 species
AUUAAUUUCAUCUCAGGCGUCGC